rnacentral:rRNA from 1 species
ACGGAAGGCAGCAGUGGGGAAUAUUGCACAAUGGGCGCAAGCCUGAUGCAGCGAUGCCGCGUGAGGGAAGAAGGUUUUCGGAUUGUAAACCUCUGUCAUCGGGGACGAUAAUGACUGUACCCGAGAAGGAAGCUCCGGCUAACUACGUGCCAGCAGCCGCGGUAAUACGUAGGGAGCGAGCGUUAUCCGGAAUUACUGGGUGUAAAGGGAGUGUAGGCGGGACUGUAAGUCAGAUGUGAAAUAUACCGGCUCAACUGGUAGACUGCAUUUGAAACUGCGGUUCUUGAGUGAAGUAGAGGUAAGCGGAAUUCCUAGUGUAGCGGUGAGAUCCGUAGAUAUUAGGAGGAACAUCAGUGGCGAAGGCGGCUUACUGGGGGCUUAUCGACGCUCAUGCUCGAAAGUGCGGGUAGCAAACAGGAUUAGAUACCCUGGUA